rnacentral:rRNA from 1 species
GCCUACGGGGGGCAGCAGUAGGGAAUCUUCCACAAUGGGCGAAAGCCUGAUGGAGCAACGCCGCGCGGGUGAAGAAGGUCUUCGGAUCGUAAAACCCUUUUGUUAGAGAAGAAAGUGCGUGAGAGUAACUGUUCACGUUUCGACGGUAUCUAACCAGAAAGCCACGGCUAACUACGUGCCAGCAGCCGCGGUAAUACGUAGGUGGCAAGCGUUAUCCGGAUUUAUUGGGCGUAAAGGGAACGCAGGCGGUCUUUUAAGUCUGAUGUGAACGCCUUCGGCUUAACCGGAGUAGUGCAUUGGAAACU